rnacentral:rRNA from 1 species
CAGCAGUCAUCUACGUGAUCAGAGCGCCGCUGUGGGAAAAACAGAGAUGAGACACAACAGGGGAUGCCCAGCGAAGGGCUGGCUGGCUCCCGACGUUUCUCCCACGGCGGCCCAUGUGGACAUCCUCCAAAACCUUGUGGCUAAUACAUGCAAGCAAGACCAUCAUCCAAUGGUUUUCACCGAGGUCGGCCGCCCCUCCGCGCGCCCCACGUGGCGCGCGCGUGGGGCACAGCAGUGGGAAACAGAAGAUGCGUGCUACACUGGUGACACCUGCGAUCCAGGGGCGGCCAUCGACCGCACCCGGCUGGUAUCAAGGCCAGCGUCCGUGAAGGACAGCUCACUUGUCGGUUGACCCAGGCCGGUCCCCCACGAAGCACACACACCUGUGGUGUGUGGGGAGAGGGAGGCACCGGCAGAGAGAUAUGUUUUGUGCCUGUCUGGGCUCGCGCCACCGGCACGCCGGUCGCCCCCUCGCGGGGUGGCCAGUGUGUGUCGGUCGGACCACGCCCCUGGCACAGAGUUUUGCCUGAUCACACGAGCUUCUGACCUAUCAGCUUGGUCUGUGGCGCAGUGGACCACAGUGGCCCUGACGGGUGACGGAGAAUGAGGGUUCGAUUCCGGAGAGGGAGCCUGAGGGAUGGCUACCACUACCAAGGUGGGCAGCAGGCGCGCAAAUUGCCCAAUACAAACCAAUCCUUGUGAGGCAGCGACGAACUGUAGCAAUCCCGCCAGCUCUCCGAGCUGGUGGGACUUGGAAUGGAUGCAAUCCAAACACAGUKAUKAGUAUCAACUGGAGGGCAAGUCUGGUGCCAGCAGCUGCGGUAAUUCCAGCUCCAAGAGCGUAUACUAUCAUUGUUGCUGUUAAAACACCUGUAGUCUGCCGCUGGGUUCGCAGGUCCGCCGGGUGGCCCAUGUGCCAUUGUGUCGGGGUGGCCGUGUGGUUUGCCUCCGGGCAUUCCGCCGCCCCCGCUGGGCAUGUGGGGCAACAACCCCCGGCGGUGCUUCUUCCUGCACCCGAAGAGACAAGGCAAUGCUUGUUCGCUGGGCGGUGUGGAUGGCUCCUGCUGAAAGUCUCCUUCACUGGAGGCCCACAGGCGGUUGUGCCUCGAACGCAGGCAUGGGCAAGCCAACCUGGGGCAGGUGCCUGUGUGCCCUGCAGCCCGAUCGUCUCCACAGCCCCUGCCACUCGCUGGCAGGGGUGACGAUGGCACCCAGGGCCCACCACCGGAGUCCACCGCCGCUGACACCGUGGAAAACUCAGGGUGCCCCAAGCGUCCGACUGUUCCCAACUUCUUGUUCCUGGCUGGAUGCCCAUCCAUGGGAUGUCAAAGCACCGACCGAGUGUGGCUACACAGAAAGCAAUUGAUUUGGUUGUGCUGGCCUUGGGGCCCGCCCCGGGCAACGUGAUGCAUGCUUCGUGUUCACAGAGAAAGCUCCUGGGAUAAUCUGUCUGCUAUGGCUGAAACACACAGAGUGAUGAGUAUCAACUGGAGGACCAUCGUAGUCCAAUGGGCUUUUUCUGCGCUCUACCCUGUGGCAUGUGUCGAUCGGAGACGAUGGAAUCGCCCGAGGUGCAGGAUAGGGCUGCGCCAGAGGUGAAAUUCUUAGACCGCCGCCGGGUCACCGGCGGCGAAGGCGCUUGACCAGUCUGUGUUCGUCGAUCAAGGAUGAGAGUCUGGGGAGCAAAGAUGAUCAGACACCGUCGUAGUCCGGCCACUGUAAACUGUGCCAGCCCGGCCCGCGCGGGGCCUAUCCGAAAGGCUUACGCCCAUUGUAUCCGACCCUCGCGCGGGCCACGCCCCCUACACCGAGAAAUCCACAGCCUGUGGGUUCAGGGGGGUGUACGGUCGCAAGGCUGAAACUUAAAGGAAUUGACGGAAUGGCACCACAAGGCGUGGAGCAUGCGGCUUAAUUUGACUCAACACGGGGAAUGUUACCAGGUCAGGACACAGCUGGGAUGGACAGAUUGAGAGCUCUUUCUUGAUCCUGUGGAAGGUGGUGCAUGGCCGCUCCUGAUUGGUGGAGUGAUUUGUCUGGUUGAUUCCGAUAACGAGUGAGAUCUCUGCCUCCUACUAGACCCUGGCUCGCAUCUGUAGGGUCAUCGGUCCAUGAGCGGUGCUCCUGCGGGCCACGCCCGUUAGGACGACCCUGUCUCACCCCGUCGAAGCAACCGGGGGUUGAGCUGGGCAGGCACAGAAGGGAGCUUUGUGCGAGGUGGCCCCCGCGGAUCCCGCGUGGGGAGAGCGCACCGGCACCGGGUGGUUCGCCACCCGGAGACGCCGCGCUGCCUCUCCCUGCCCCGCGAGCGCUGGCCCCUCCGGUUCCCCUCGGCCUCCUGCCUGCUCCGCCCCCUCGCUCUGGCGGGGCUGUCUCAGGGCCCUCUGGACCGCCCGAGAGCCAUGGGUGUCCAGCUUCUUUGAGGUGCUGUGUCCGUCUGCCAAGGGCAAGCAUGCUAGAGCCAACAGCAGGUCUGUGAUGCUCCCAGAUGUUCUGGGCCGCACGCGCGCUACACUGGUGCAGUGAGGGAGUCCACUGCGCGCCCGCGAUCAUCCCGCGGGCCCUGGUCGGAAGUGACUGGGAAAUCCUACGAGUCUGCCAACCGUGCUGGGGAUAGAUGAUUGCAACUGUCUGCCUUGAACGUGGAAUGCCUAGUAGGCGUUGGUCAUCAGCCAACACCGAUUGUGUCCCUGCC